rnacentral:misc_RNA from 1 species
GAAACGCGAUAGUUAAUGUGAAUUGCAGAAUUCAGUGAAUCAUCGAGUCUUUGAACGCACAUUGCGCCCAUAGGUAUUCCUUUGGGCAUGUCUGUUUGAGCGUCAUUACAACCCUCAGCUAACCGCUGGUUUUGAACCUGAACGGGUGACACCGCGCCGGUUUUAAAGUUGUAAGCUCUGCUGGCCGCUCUGCCCAACCAGAACAUAGUAAGCACUGCUUGUCCGGGUGAAGCUGAACGGUACGGCCUGAACAAAACCUACCCACUCUCAAGGUUUGACCUCAGAUCAGACAAGGAUACCCGCUGAACUUAAGC